rnacentral:lncRNA from 1 species
AGAAAUAACCAAAAGCCAACCAUGCAUUUUUAUCUUUUUUUGGUUACAACAGGAAACUAAAAGACCCAAAAACAAAAAGAAAAGAGACUAAAUACUGGAAUAAACUCCAGUUUCUCUAGCUCCUAAUUAACUACAUGUCAGAAAGAUCAUCUCAGUAACCAAGCUUGAGCCGCAUGAGCAAGAGGAUCAUCAAAAGCAAUCAAGCCUAAACCAAGGCAUCUGUAACCAUGUUUACAAUCUCUAAAAAAGUAAGACAGUCAUCAAUAGUAAUUGAGAAGUGCAUGUUGUGGUGGAUACAACGAUAAUUACAAGGGAAAAAGACCAUUUGCACAAAAUCAAAAAAAUCAAACCUCAUUCCAAUGAUAAUCUUUUUUGUUAGUCCACUUAAAUAUAAGGUACUUCUUUUAUGUCCAAAUGCACAAAUCUUUAUUAAAAUCUUAAUAUAAUAAUAAUUUUGAAGACUUUUUUACCCUUAGUUUUAAUUUAAGAGAGAAAGUGGAAGAGAGGGAGGGAAAACUAUGUCGGAAGCACACCAGACUCCGGCCGCUGGACUCUGGACACCGGCUGCCGGAUUCCGGUCACCGACCGCCAAAAAAUUUCUGACCGCCGGAAAAUAGUCGGAAUCUCACGGGAUUUUUUUAAGAAAAAAUGUUACCGGAAUCCAUCAAAUCUUACCGGAAGUAUACCGGCAAAAAAUCCCCUAGUAAACUAUUACUGGGGGUAGUAAAGUUGCAAAACAGUAUCUCCAAUGCAAUAAUACACAUUAAAACAAAGAAAAUUGACUCAGAUAUGAAAAAAAUAAAGUUUAACUGGGGGUAGUAAAUUUUCAUUAAAGUUUACUACCCCUAGUAAACUUCAACUGGGGGGUAGUAACAUGCAAAACAAUAUCUCCAAAGGUCAUAAUACACAUUAAAACAAGAAAAAAAAUCAACUUAAAUGCAAAAAAAUAAAGUUUACUGGGGUAGUAAAUUUUUCAAUAAAGUUUAUUACCCCUAGUAAACCUCUACUGGAGGUAGUUAACUUGUAAAAUAGUAUUUCCAAAUGUCAUAAUACACAUUAAAACGGAGAAAAAUCAACUUCGAUGCGAAGAAACAAAGUUUACUGCCCCUAGUAAUCUUCUAUUAGGGGUAAUACUAGGAGUAGUAAACUUGUCGUACAACAGUAUUAGUGGUAAAGAAAGAGAGAACAUAAAGAAAAGAUGAGAAAAAAGUGUUGUUAAACCUAAUAACAAACUUAUUACCUCUAGUAAUAUAUUUUUCACUCUAACUUUUCACUUUUCUGCAAAACUUUAUCCCCUAGUAACUUCACUUUAAUUAGAGACGCAGUCGUUGUUUUCCAAAAAUGCUGUGCAACCAAGCAAGAACGGCUGCGCCAGUGAGUUGCGUGACGGAGAUCAGAGAUCGGCUCACAUUUCCGACACCUCUGGUUUUGAUGGUUAGAGAUCGGAGCUCCACUGCUCGACGCGACCGCGCUGGUGAAGAAGCAUCGAUGAAGCUUGUGCUGGAGUCGGCAGAUCUGAGAACUUUGCUGGCGGAUCUGAGAACGUUGCAGGCAACCUCAACCUCGUCAGUGGCGGAGGCGCGUUGGAGAUGUGAGAAAGAGGACAAAUGGACUCGAUGACGUUGCAGGUGGAGGAGAUCGGGUGCGGUCGAGUUCGGCUAUGAGGCCGACGAAGAUGAACGGCGGAGCUUUUUGGAGAGAGAGAGAGAGAGAGAGAGAGAGAGAGAGAGAGAGAGAGAGAGAGAGAGAGAGAGAGAGAGAGAGAGAGAGAGAGAGAGAGAGAGAGAGAGAGAGAGAGAGAGAGAGAGAGAGAGAGAGAG